rnacentral:rRNA from 1 species
GACGAACGCUGGCGGCGUGCUUAACACAUGCAAGUCGAACGGAAAGGCCCCUUUGGGGGUACUCGAGUGGCGAACGGGUGAGUAACACGUGAGUAACCUGCCCUUGACUUCGGGAUAACUUCAGGAAACUGGGGCUAAUACCGGAUAGGAAUCCUUGCUGCAUGGUGGGGGUUGGAAAGCUUCGGCGGUUUUGGAUGGACUCGCGGCUUAUCAGCUUGUUGGUGGGGUAGUGGCUUACCAAGGCUUUGACGGGUAGCCGGCCUGGGAGGGCGACCGGCCACAUUGGGACUGAGAUACGGCCCAGACUCCUACGGGGGGCAGCAGUGGGGAAUAUUGCACAAUGGGCGGCAGCCUGAUGCAGCAACGCCGCGUGCGGGAUGACGGCCUUCGGGUUGUAAACCGCUUUCAGCAGGGGCGAAGCUUGUGGUGACGGUACCUGCAGAAGAAGCACCGGCUAACUACGUG